UCUAGUAUGGCAGAUAAGUGCAAUGGAUUUAAGCUCCUUACAUAGAGGUUUGCCCUCUUAUUAGAA
rnacentral:tRNA from 1 species